CGCCCACCUCGGCCUGCCAAAGUGCUGAGAUCACAGGUGUGAACCACUGCGCCUGGCCGAAUUUGAUUAUCUUUUAAAUAUUUUCAUCAAAACUCUUAGGUCUAUUUAAAUUAUAAAUUAGACUGGAAAGAUCAUUUGUGUUACCCAAUUAAAACUAAAUACUAAUUGAGUAUUUUAUUUUAAUUGGGUAACACAAAUUUAGUUUGUGGUAAGAAAAAAAUGUUAGGGUCUUUCUGUUGUUUCCUUCUAAUACUGUCUUUAACUUGUACAUGCUGAAUUUUGUUUGAAGUAUUAUGAUUUGUAAAGCUUUCAAACAUAACGAUGUUAUUAUUAUUGGUAGUAAAGGUUUAUUUUUAACAGUAA